UGAGUGACUCUGUAACCCUGAGUGAGUGACUCUACCUUUGGAUGCCUCAGUCAUCUUCUCUGUAAGGUGGGAAGAAUUGUACCACCUCCUAUUCCACUUACAUGGUAUCAGGAAGAUGUUAUUUGUUUUUAAAAGGAAAAAAAGAACUUAAAAACACUCUCGGUUACUCUGCAAAGAGGUUGUUGUAAAUGUGAAGUGUCACUAUUAUUAAGUGCGAGGCGAUCCUUCCCACCCCCAUCAUGUUCCAGCGCUACAACGUGAGCUGUGUGACAGGCUAUUUUUAAAUUCCCAUCUCUGGAAGCAUAUGGUCCUGCACAGUGCCAAAAAGAGAAAAAUGACCUGCUUCGGUUUGUUUGCUUGUUUGUUUUGAUCCGAUGGAGCAUUUUCUAUGUUCCUGUUAAAGGCUGUUCUUUCUACUUUAAACUUUGAAGAAAAGGAAACUAAAACUCAGAGAGACGUGACCUGCUUCCAGUUAUACCACAAAGUAGAAUCAGAUAAAAUCAUGAGCUGUGUCCCUCUCUGCAUUGAACUCAGCACACAUUUUACUGAGCACCAACCAAAUUCUUGCUGGAGAAGUAAAGAUGGGAGCAUCCCAAGGAGCACAGUGAUGGUGUCAGUUCCCUGCAGCU
rnacentral:lncRNA from 13 species